rnacentral:rRNA from 1 species
UACGUAGGCAGCGAGCGUUGUUCGGAAUUACUGGGCGUAAAGAGUGUGUAGGCGGUGCUCCCAGUCUGUUGUGAAAUCUCCCGGCUUAACUGGGAGGGUGCAGCGGAAACUAGAGUGCUAGAGGGUGGGAGAGGUAAGCGGAAUUCCUGGUGUAGCGGUGAAAUGCGUAGAUAUCAGGAGGAACACCGGCGGCGAAGGCGGCACUCUGGGCCGGUACUGACGCUGAGGAGCGAAAGCGUGGGUAGCAAACAGG